CAACAGUAGCAGGAAGCACAGGAAAUCUCAUGAGAUGGCCUGUUCGUGACCACUUGCCUCUCUCUGCAGAUUCAUGCGGUGGACAUGUCUAAGUCUCUGCAGAGGCUGCUGGAACAGACUCUCAGCUUUCAACUGUUUGAGCCUCAUUCACAGCUGACACAGUAGCUGCUGCAGGGCGCAACUGUCAAGAGCCGAGCCACAGUCUGAGUCUGCAGGCUGAAAACUGCCCUGCUCGGUCCUGUUGCUUCCCUAAAAUGUCAGUCUAACUGAAAUGCUCAGUGAAGGGAACUCUCCUGAUGGGAUGGACCAGGGCUGUUCGCUCCUUUGAGGAAUAUUUCACUGCUCACCAAAUCACCAGGUAUCUUGGACUUUACUCCAAGCAACUUGCAUCCAGAAGAGCCCUCCUUCCCACGGACAGCAGAAGCUCCCGAUAGUAUGGACACUUUAUGGAAUGACAGGAGCCCACCAAGUAUCAUAUCAGGCUUGGCGAGGAGCACCUGCUCUCCUACCCUGCCUGUACUGCUGACUGGCCAUGACCAUGAAACCAGAGCAGGUAGCUUAACCUGUUUUGUCCUUGUUAUUUUUACUUGAACCAUCUGGGAGUUUUGCCUAAAUAAACUCUGAGAUCCU